rnacentral:rRNA from 1 species
UACGGAGGGUCCAAGCGUUAUCCGGAAUCAUUGGGUUUAAAGGGUCCGUAGGCGGUUUUGUAAGUCAGUGGUGAAAGCCCAUCGCUCAACGGUGGAACGGCCAUUGAUACUGCAAGACUUGAAUUAUUAGGAAGUAACUAGAAUAUGUAGUGUAGCGGUGAAAUGCUUAGAGAUUACAUGGAAUACCAAUUGCGAAGGCAGCUUACUACACAGUUAUUGACACUGAGGCACGAAAGCGUGGGGAUCAAACAGG